rnacentral:lncRNA from 1 species
AGUCCUGUGACUCCUCACAAGGACUACCCUGGCCAAAAUUUUACUAAAUUGAAACAUGACUGUACACAGCUCCUAAACUGGAGUGGUCAAUCCCAUCUUGACACACGCACCGACAAGUCAAGUACUUGACUACACCCAGCAGCCUUCCGUCACUGAAUUAAAAAUUCAGGUAGUCCAGUGCCUAAGUGCAGUGAGUUGCUUGCAAGUCACUAUGGCGGUCUCAGGU